CCACACCCCCCACACACACCCCCCCCCCCCACAUACACACACACAAAUUCUGGCCUGCAUUUUUUUGGUUAGGGUGACCUUGGAGAAAACCAAAUCUUCCAAAAAUAAGAGCACCCCUCUUAACCAAGAGCAACCCCUCCAGGUACUAAUAGUGACCAGACCCAAUAUAGUUGGACCAAUGGACCAAGCUGCCUUGAGAUAACAGCACAAUCUCCUCCAAAAGCCCAUAUAGACAAGGAAGUUUACGACCUCAGUGUUGGAUCAGGACAUCCUAAAGAUGCAGCUGCUAUUAUGUAUUUGUUUGUUCAACGAUUAACUAGUCCUAUGUGAGCCAAGUUCAGACUGGAGCAAUUCAAGUUGGUUUCUGCAUGUGAUGAA
rnacentral:ncRNA from 1 species